rnacentral:rRNA from 1 species
UGUAGUCAUAUGCUUGUCUCAAAGAUUAAGCCAUGCAUGUCUAAGUAUAAGCAAUUAUACAGCGAAACUGCGAAUGGCUCAUUAUAUAAGUUAUCGUUUAUUUGAUAGUACCUUACUACUUGGAUAACCGUAGUAAUUCUAGAGCUAAUACAUGCUAAAAAACCCGACUCUCGGAAGGGUUGUAUUUAUUAGAUAAAAAACCAAUGCGGUCUCGGCCGGUUAUUUGGUGAUUCAUAAUAACUUUGCGAAUCGUAUGACUUUGCGUCGACGAUGAUUCAUUCAAAUUUCUGCCCUAUCAACUUUCGAUGGUAAGGUAUU